CCUACGGGUGGCAGCAGUGGGGAAUAUUGCACAAUGGGCGCAAGCCUGAUGCAGCCAUGCCGCGUGUGUGAAGAAGGCCUUCGGGUUGUAAAGCACUUUCAGCGGGGAGGAAGGCGUUAAGGUUAAUAACCUUGGCGAUUGACGUUACCCGCAGAAGAAGCACCGGCUAACUCCGUGCCAGCAGCCGCGGUAAUACGGAGGGUGCAAGCGUUAAUCGGAAUUACUGGGCGUAAAGCGCACGCAGGCGAUCUGUCAAGUCGGAUGUGAAAUCCCCGGGCUCAACCUGGGAACUGCAUUCGAAACUGGCAGGCUAGAGUCUUGUAGAGGGGGGUAGAAUUCCAGGUGUAGCGGUGAAAUGCGUAGAGAUCUGGAGGAAUACCGGUGGCGAAGGCGGCCCCCUGGACAAAGACUGACGCUCAGGUGCGAAAGCGUGGGGAGCAAACAGGAUUAGAUACCCGUGUAGUC
rnacentral:rRNA from 1 species